rnacentral:rRNA from 1 species
AAAUUGAAGAGUUUGAUCAUGGCUCAGAUUGAACGCUGGCGGCAGGCCUAACACAUGCAAGUCGAACGGUAACAGGAAGCAGCUUGCUGCUUCGCUGACGAGUGGCGGACGGGUGAGUAAUGUCUGGGAAGCUGCCUGAUGGAGGGGGAUAACUACUGGAAACGGUAGCUAAUACCGCAUAAU